AUGCCCCAAAAUGACCCAAAAUCGCCAUUUUUCCCCCCAAAUCCUGUAGGUUCGCCAAGCUGCUGCUCCGCCUUCCGGCCCUUCGCUCCAUCGGCCUCAAGUGCCUGGAACAUUUGUUCUUCUUCAAGCUCAUCGGGGACACCCCCAUCGACACCUUCCUCAUGGAGAUGCUCGAGGCCCCGCACCAGCUGGCCUGACCCCAUAGAAAACCCUAUAAACCCUAUAACCCCAUAUCGACCCUAUAAGCCCGAUAUUGACCCUAUAACCCCAAUAUGGACCCUAUAUCCUAUAUAUAUAUGGACGCAUAUCAGGGACACCCCCAUCGACACCUUCCUCAUGGAGAUGCUCGAGGCCCCGCACCAGCUGGCCUGACCCCAUAGAAAACCCUAUAAACCCUAUAACCCUAUAACCCCUAUAUGGACCCUAUAAGCCCUAUAUGGACCCUAUAAACCCGAUAUGGACCCUAUAAACCCGAUAUGGACCCUAUAAACCUGAUAUGGACCCCAUAAUCCCUGGAAAACAACGGACUCAAACGUGGACUGAAAUGAUGGGAUUCCAUCCCAUAAUACGACCCCAUAAACCCUAUAAACCCUAUAACCCCAAUAUGGACCCUAUAAACCUGAUAUGGACCCUAUAAUCCCAAUAUGGACCCUAUAAUCCCAAUAUGGACCCUAUAAUCCCAAUAUUGACCCCAUAAUCCCAAUAUUGACCCUAUAAUCCCAAUAUGGACCCUAUAAUCCCAAUAUGGACCCUAUAAACCCAAUAUGGACCCUAUAAUCCCAAUAUUGACCCUAUAAUCCCAAUAUUGACCCUAUAAUCCCAGUGCUGACCCUAUAAACCCCAUAGGAUAUAAUGGGGUCCCCAUUAAUACCCUAUAAACCCCAUAGGAUAUAAUGGGGUCCCCAUUAAUACC
rnacentral:lncRNA from 1 species